UACGUAGGGGGCAAGCGUUGUCCGGAUUUAUUGGGCGUAAAGAGCGUGUAGGCGGCCAGAUAGGUCCGUUGUGAAAACUCGAGGCUCAACCUCGAGACGCCGAUGGAAACCAUUUGGCUAGAGUCCGGAAGAGGGAGAGUGGAAUUCCUGGGUGUAGCGGUGAAAUGCGCAGAUAUCAGGAGGAACACCGGUGGCGAAGGCGGGUCUCUGGAACGCAAC
rnacentral:rRNA from 1 species